AAAACGGCCCUUUUAAGGGCCCCCACUAAUUCACUAAAAGGCUGUG
rfam:Xenopus tropicalis strain Nigerian Chr03_contig_3081, whole genome shotgun sequence.